GACGAACGCUGGCGGCGUGCUUAACACAUGCAAGUCGAACGGUAAGGCCCUUCGGGGUACACGAGUGGCGAACGGGUGAGUAACACGUGGUGAUCUGCCCUGCACUUCGGGAUAAGCCUGGGAAACUGGGUCUAAUACCGGAUAGGACUCCUGGCUUCAUGGUUGGGGUGUAAAGCUUUUGCGGUGUGGGAUGGGCCCGCGGCCUAUCAGCUUGUUGGUGGGGUAAUGGCCUACCAAGGCGACGACGGGUAGCCGGCCUGAGAGGGUGACCGGCCACACUGGGACUGAGAUACGGCCCAGACUCCUACGGGAGGCAGCAGUGGGGAAUAUUGCACAAUGGGCGCAAGCCUGAUGCAGCGACGCCGCGUGAGGGAUGACGGCCUUC
rnacentral:rRNA from 1 species